UACAGAGGGUGCGAGCGUUAAUCGGAAUGACUGGGCGUAAAGGGUGCGUAGGUGGCUGUUUAAGUGCGUUGUGAAAGCCCUGGGCUUAACCUGGGAACGGCACCGCAUACUGGGCAGCUAGAGUGGUUGAGAGGGUAGUGGAAUUUCCGGUGUAGCGGUGAAAUGCGUAGAGAUCGGAAAGAACACCAGUGGCGAAGGCGACUACCUGGCAACACACUGACACUGAGGCACGAAAGCGUGGGGAUCAAACAGG
rnacentral:rRNA from 2 species